CUCCGCACCAAGACAGCCGUGAUUGGAAGAUAACACAGCGGGUUAGAACUCUGUCUUGCUCUCUGCAAAUCUGUGACGGGAAAACUACUGUUCCUGCCAUUCCUAACUUCUGAUGCACUGGCCUCUCCAUUGGUCCGCCCUGGUGGGCAGUGUGGAGCUUUGCUGUUUAGACUCUGUGGUGAUUAAUUGUAGGUGUCCACUUGACUGGAUUAAGGGUUACCUACAGAACUGGCAAAGUGUAAUUGCUGGGUGCGUUGGUGAGGAGUUUCCAGAGGAGGCUGGCAUGUGAAUCAGCAGGCUGAGUGGGGAAGAUCCACCCUCAGUGUGGACAGCUGCCAUCCAAUUGGCUGGGGUUUGGGCAGAACAGAAAGGUGAUCUGCACUCUCCUGGGGCUGAGAUGUGCUCUUUGUCGGAACUGCUGGCCCUGCAGCCUUUCACAAUGGACUCCAGCAGCCUCCUGCAUUCUCAGGACUUCAGCUUUCAUUGCAGGAGAACCUGCUUUUCUCAAUCACGGAGCUAAUGUGCACCUGGCCCAGGAGCAAGAGGCACUGAUGAGAAACCUAUCAGGAGGUGGAGGAGCCACCUGCCUGACCCCCACUUCACUCCCCGAGGUGAACCAAUGGAUGUGCCACAAGAGCACCUGCUCCCCUGCAGCAGCUGAGAGCAAAACCCAAACCAUUGUUGCUUCACUGCUGCCUUCUGAGCCUUGGGUGGCUCAUGCUAGCCUAGAACUCAGCAGGGAAGAUAGCCCUGGGAAGCCAGUUUUAGCCCGGCCAGGCUGAGAUCGGACUCGGGACCUUGCGCUUGCAAGCCAGGUGGCGGCACUACUGAGCUAAAUCACCAGCCCUGUGACACCAUUUUAUUCCUGGCUCUUCCUCAAAGUCAAAAUGACCAUGAGAGUCAUACCGCAUAGACCAGAGGAGGGGCACUUUUCACUGAGAAAGACAGAAGAAAAGAUACAAUGCAGAUGCAGACUGUCCUCAGAAAGUUACCUGCACUGGGGAGAGGGGGAUUCCCUGGGAGACAGGGUGCAUUUUCCCUCGGCCCUCUUAUAAUCUCCUUUUCCAUCACUUCCCCUUGGGUGGGGAGAGGCUCACAAUGUAAGUAGUUUUGCUCUGGCACUCGCUCCUGCCACGAUGUGAUGCCUCAUCACAAGAAAUGAUGGGAGGCACCUACACCCCUGGAAUCUUCACUAUGGAUCUUGGACAUCAUGAAGUCAGACUUUGCUGGAGGAAGGCAUGGAUCAGAUCUGUCAUUCUCAGUUGAGAAGUGAGAUAAAAUUGGCCAUGAUCCUACCUGAAGAGACCUUCUACAGGGGCUCACUUGCCUAUUCUAGAAACCAGAUGAUCAGUUAUUUUUUCUGACAAACAAGCAAGCCUGAACCCUCCUGCAGGGGAAUUGCAGAGGCAAGGGCACCAUGAGAGACACUGAGGAAUGGUCACCUUUGACCUACAGAGGACAGCUGCCUUGGGCUGAGGGAUUAGGAGACAGUGGGCUGUGAUCAAAGAACCCCAAAGAAAGGAACCUUAAACCUUUAUCUCCAAAGCUUCUGGCAAUUCAAGCUCAUCUCCACUGGAGCAUCAAAGCUGGUGUAGGAGACUUUUCAGGUCUGGAGAGGCCACACAGAAGCAAGCUGACAGCUGGGCAAUACAAGGAGACUUUCAUGCAGCGGCUCUGAUAGUGACAGGCAGCCCCAGUGAGCUGAGGAACAUUUCUAAAGCUUAAGCUGCCAUGUCACACACAGCAACACUUUCAGAGUGUCAAAUGCUGGAGCUGUAAUGACUUUCUUGUGCGUAUUGUUUGAAAAUAGAAGUGAGUAUGCUAUUCUAAAGCUGGUGUUGAGACAGUGUAGACAAGACUAAUUUGGUAAAAAGUAAAUUGAUAAGAAUUUCAAAGAACAGUUCCAGCAAGAACUGAUAAGAGCAGUUUCAUCGAGUAAAUUCAGACACAACACAUACUUCCUGAGAACUUAAGUGAGCCCAGCACCAGACACUGGGAUGAGGUCUUUUAUCCCAGUCUUGGGGUUAAUUCUCAUGAAGACCUUAAUGGAGAAAUAUUACCUUCUUCCAUGCGUUACAACUGAGACUGACGUGGUGGCUCUGAAGUGUUUGUUCAAGUCACACAGCUACUGUGGGAGGGAAAAAGAGUUCAAACCAGGUCUGUCUGCCUUGAGAUUCACUUUGAUUUCAGUGAAAGAAGAGGAACUUUUUCACAGUUAUUUGUCUGGGUCUAUAUGUACACACAAGCAAGAGCUCUCCGGCAGUCACUUGAGCUAAAAUUUCUCUGGUUCACUUUACAAUGUGAAAUCUUUUGGAAAGAAAUGUGGUAGAGACAAUGCCAUGUAACUCCACACAUAAGCUGAGGAGGAGGGGUAUUAAGCUGUGGCUGUGUUUGUGGCUUGUGUUUUGUGGUUUCGCAUUUUUGUUUCUUGAGUGCUUAUUAUAUGUCAGGCUUCUCACUUGGUCCUCACAGUGCCCUUUAAAGGUGGUCACAGUCACAGGUGGCUUUACAGGGAAACAUUCACAAGGAGCAGUAUAUCAUUAGGUGUAUUCAGAGUCUGUGCAAAGAUUAUAGAGUGUACUUACACAGACCUAGGUCAGUGCUUCUGUAUGGUCUCUGAAUGCAACACAGAGACUCAGUAAACACAAGAUAUAUGAGGCUGCUGCCAGUGUAACACGGUAUACUGUUUUUAAUCAGUAGAAUUAGGCUAAAAUAACAAUAAAAUCAUAGUGUGGUCAAUACAUAAGCCAGUAGCAUGUUUACUAUCAUUAUUGAGAAUUCUAUGCUAUACAAAACUGUAUGUACUAUAUUUUUAUAUGAUUGCCAGGGGAGUUCAUUUGUAACAGCCUUACUACCCACACAUGACCAAUGUGCUGUGCUAUAUUGUUAUCAUGGCUACAACAUCACUAGGUGAUAGGAAUCUUUUAGCUCCAUUAAAAUGCUAUGGGACCAUGAAUCAUGUAUGUGGUUUGUCAUUGACUAAAACAUUUUGUGGCUCACGACUAUGGUAGUAUGUGCACUUUACAAAUAAGAGGGAAAGGGUAUUUGGAAGGUUAUGUCCUUAAAGCUCACAGAGCUAGCUAGUCACUAUCAAAGCCAAGAUCAGAAUUUAGGUUUUCUGGUUUGAAAGCCCUUGUUAUUUUUGCCACAAAAUCCUGUCAGCUUGUUGUUCUGAAUCUGAGACCAAGGAAGAGCUAGGAUUUUUCUUUCUGAGAAAUGUGAUGAGUGAAAUGAGAGAACAGAGAGGUCCCAGCAAAUACCCUUAAACCCAUAUUGGCUUCUGAGUGGUGUGUGUGUGGGGAGCAAGAUCUAGACCAGGCAAGGUAGGCGGACGGGAACCUCAUCCGGUCCAACCCGGAAGCUCAGGCCUAGAGGAGACACUGCCUGGAGGCCACUGUGGGAUGCGAGAGAGCACGAGGCUGCCACCAAAUCCUGAUCCAGCAAGUGGUUUCAUCUGGGAGGCUUCAUUUUUCCCCUUUAAAAUGGGGAUAAAGGAGGCCCUGUGGAAGGGAAAGAAGACAGGGAAAGUGACUCUGAGGUAGGGGUUCAGUAGACUCUAGCCUUCCGGGCCACAGCCCUAAAUGGUCAGGCAGGGCAUCACUCCUUGUCUGGGAACGCUUGGAGGCUGUUCUCCAGCCUGUGGGGCAUCAGGGGCUCUAUCAUACCCUUCCUCAGGUCAGAGUCACUGACGGCAGAGCCCUCGGUGUCGAGGUCAUUUGGGCAAAGGGGUCUGCAGAGUGCGGCUCCAACUCAGCGUUCCUCAGCUUGCAGCCUCCUGAAACUCAGUCACAGGUUGAAACUGCAACCCCGCUGGUGACUGCUUCCUUGUUGCUAAGCGACCAAAUAUCUGAUAUUAAGCUCCUGUUGAUGAAGCUAA
ensembl:lncRNA